CCUCUGUAUCUGUGUCCCAUUUGCCUAGGACCUUUCCCUCCUGCUUUGUGUGUGACUCAGGCCUGUGAUGGUCCCUAAACAACCUCUUCACUGUGGCCAUAACCCAGUAGCCCUAGAGCCAGGGGAGACUCUUCUGCAAUGGGGAUACUUCACUGACCCCCAAAUCUUUUCAGGAUCCAGAAGUUAGGGAGUCUGCAAGACAGGGCAUAUGAGGGUUCAGGUUCCACUGGCAGUUGGCCAUGAAGUCAUAGGGUUCUGGUGAGAAAAAGAAGGUUCCAGAAUAACUCAGCUGUACCUGCCUCCGUCAGGAUUCACUAAAGAGGCAAGGUGGAAGGGCAGGAGCCACUAUAUACCUCCACUACUGCUCUCUGGGCUCCACAGCCUCUCUCCCUGACUCACCCCCUGAAGGUUCACAGUCUCCAUUCUCGACCCUUGUCUUCUCCCCAAGAUUCAGGCCUUCCCUCUUGACCCUCGAGUCUCCUUGCCUGCUCUGUGGCCCAAAGCCUUCUCUUCUGUCCCUCAGCCAAUCCCCAGCUCCUGCAGCUUUCUGCCUGGAUCACUUGCUUCUCUCCAGCUAACCACUCGGCCACCCUGGCCUGGUGCCCAACCUUGGGCAGCCACAGGGGCUCUGAUAACCGUUGUCUGAGCUAUAGGUGGUGGCCGCUGGUGAAGCCAUGUCAGAGCCAGCAGACGGCCCCUCACUAAGGCUUUCACCUUCACACCUGAGCACUGUCACACUCGAGGACCUGGAGCUGCUCUUAACAGAAGGCCUAGUCAGUGCUGAGACCUCAGAGAGAGAUGAGUGCAGUGGCCGGGCGUCCGGCUCCUUGGUCCCUGAACAGGACACCUCUAAGCUGUGGAAACAGCUGGAGCAAUGGGUAGCUGAGCUGCAGGCUGAGGUGGUUCGUCUGAGGGGACACAAGGAACGCUGUGAGCAUGCCACAUUGGGCCUGCUUCGUGAGCUGUUGCAGGUUCGUGCCCGUGUGCAGAUGCAGGCCUCAGAGCUGCGCCAGCUGAGGCAAGUAGUACAACAGGCAGCCUGGAGCCCAGAGAAGGAGGAGCUAGAGUUAUCUGGGCCCCAGAGCCAGAACCAGAUGCAAACCCUGGAUAAAAGGCUGGUGGAGGUCCGGGAGGCUUUAACACACAUCAGGAGGAAACAGGCUCUACAGGACUCGGAGCGGAAACAUUCCGAGCAGGAGAUAAACCUCAGGCUGACCAACCUGACUGGCAUGCUGAGCCAAGAGGAGCAGGGCCGGGAAGCAGCCUGCAGUGCCUUGCAGAAAAACCAAGAGGACACCAGCCAAAAGGUGGACCUUGGGUUGGCCAAGAUGCAGGCCCAGAUGACCAAACUCAACGAGGAAAUGAGCCUUCGCUUCCUAAAGAGAGAGGCUAAACUAUGCAGUUUUCUGCAGAAGAGUUUCCUGGCCUUGGAGCAGAGAAUGAAAUCCUCAGAGAGUACACGGCAGAUAGCAGAAAGCAGCCUACGAGAGGAACUGGAAAGCCGCUGGCAGAAGCUGCAUGAGCUGACAGAGGAGCGCUUGCGGGCCUUGCGGGCACAGCGUGAGCAGGAGGAGGAGGGUCACCUGCUGGAACAGUGCCGGGGCCUAGACAAAGCUGUGGUCUAUCUGACCAAGUUUGUGCGACAGAACCAGGUGUCACUGAAUCGUGUCCUGAUGGCUGAGCAGAAGGCUCGGGAGGCCAAGGUGAGCUUGGAGGAGACCCAGGCCGGGGAGUUGGCUUCAUAUGUCCAUGAGAAUCUGGAGGCUGUGCAGAUGGCUGGCAAGCUAGCCCAGCAGGAAACACAGGAUGCACUGGAACUGCUCCAAGAGAAGAGCCAGGUCCUAGAGGGGUCAGUAGCAGGGCUGGACCAGCAGCUGAAGGACUUGAGUGACCACUGUCUAGCUCUGAGCUGGAGGCUAGAUCUGCAGGAGCAAACACUAGGCCUGAAGCUGUCCCAGAGUCAGAUACUCUGCCUCCUGGCUUCAGCAGGCCCUGUCUACCAUCCCUCACUGGAUGUUGAAAUUGUAGAAGCAGGCUGCAUGGGAAGGUAUGGAGAGAGAGUCCCUGAAGGAUCUGGUCCAGUGGCUGAAAGAAGUCACAGCACACUUGGAGGAGGUGCAGGAGAAAGUGAACAGCCUCCCCCAACAGAUAGAAAGUAUCUCCAACAAGUGUGUCAUUCACAAAAGUGAAGUGGAUGUGAAGAUCUCCGCUGAGGGCAAGGCCAGGGAGUUUGAGGUUGAGACUGUGCGACAAGAGCUAGCUGCCCUGCUGAUGUCUGUGCAGCUUCUGAAAGAGGAGAACCCUGGACGGAAGAUUGCUGAGAUCCAGGGGCAGCUGGCCACGUUUCAGAAGCAAAUGAUAAAGUUGGAGAACAGCCUUCAGGCCAACAAAACCAUCCAGAACCUGAAGUUUAAUAAUGAGACCAAGCUGCGCACAGAGGAGAUUGCAACCCUGCGUGAGAGCAUGCUGCGCCUGUGGAGUGAGGAGGGUCCCUGGCCACUGACCCUGGGCAGCAAGCGGGUAUUCAUGUCCCUGGUGAGGCAGCGGUUCUUCAUCAAGGACGUAGCCCUGGACGCAAUGGUCUCUGUGAACUCCUGGGGAGUGUACCAGGCUGUGAGGUGGCUUCGUUGGAAGAGAUUCCUCUUGAACUUGGUGGCCCAGAAAAGGCCCGGAGUGACCUCAGCGAUGACCCAGUGGAAGCCUGCAUAUGAGGUCACAUCUCUGACUGUGUUCCAGAAAUAAACAUGCCAGUUCUUGUA